CCGGAGUUGUCUGGUAAUGAGGCAAUCCUUUCCUGGCACCAAGGAAGGGCUGCCAAAACUUACCAGUUCGAAGCGAUGUCUGGUCAUCAGUUGGCGGUGGCCUUUCGCUGGAGUUGCCAACUUGAUAUCUGACCUAUUUCAAGCUAUGCAGCUAUUCUCAUCUGAAGUCAUCAGUUGGGAUGGAAACCAGUCUCUCAGCAGUACUUAAACAGGUCAGAAAGUUGCCAGCAGUUCCAAUCUAUUAUUUUUAUCUCAAAGGAAAAAUCAGCAGUAGAGUGGCUUCCCUCCUUCGACUCAGUUUCAGGGAAGGGGUGAGAACACCCUGUGAAGAGGAAGGCAGAGAUUGGAAUGAUGCAGAAGAAGCCAACGAAUCUAGGAGAGAGGCAUGAAUUUCCCCUUCAUAGUCCUUGUAAGGAGCCAACCCUGCUGCACCUUUAUCUCAAAUGUCCAGCUUCCAGAACUGCAAGACAGUAAAUUUCUGCUGUUUAAGACAAAAAAAAAAAAAGUUAAGCUUUAUAUGCACAAAGCAAGACAUUACUUAUAUUAAAUGUUGUAUCUGUGAUCUUUACAACAUUUGUCAAAUAGUCUAUUAGCCAAUCAGUUGGUAGGCAGAAGUAUCUAAAUCACAUAAAAUAAUUGUGCCUAAAUAAUUCUGGUAACUUAUGUAUAAUCCGUUGAACAUCUUGACAAUCACUAAUUUAACUAAUGCAAGUUUGUCAAAUAGGGGAACUGGGGAUCCUGAUACUAAUAUAAUUUUAGAAGAUGAACAACAGUAAAGCAUUUAUGGACUGAGAGCUUAAUGUGUUUAUUUCUUUUAAAAUUUUACAAACUGCUGGGUGUGUUGGCUUAUGCCUCUAAUCUCAGCACUUUGGGAGACUGAGGCAGGUGAAUUGCUUGAGCCCAGGAGUUCACGACCAGCUUGGGCAACGUAGUGAGAACUAAUUUCUACUAAAAAUUAAACAAAAAAAUAGUCAAGUGUGGUGGUACACACCUGAAAUCCCAGUUAUUCUGGAGACUGUGGCAGUAAGAUCAUUUGAGCCCAAGAUACUGAGACUACUGUGAGCCAUGAUUGUGCCACUGCACUCCAGCUCAGGCAACAGACUGAGACCCUGUCUCAAAAAUAAAUAAAUACAAAUAAAAUAAAAUUUUACAAACUUUCUGAUUUAGCAGUCACUAAAAACCACAUGAAAAAUCUAUUAUAUAUACACCAUCUUUUAAAAUAAAUACAUUGUAAUUUUGAAAAAUUGUGUUAUUUCCCUGAAAUCAACGUUAGCAAACAAUGGGGCUAAUAUAAAUCCAGAUAUGUUCAACUUCAAAGCCUAUACUACAAUUACUCUUGUAAAAAUAGUUUUCCAGUUAUGCCUCAACUUGUUUUAACUAGUGGAAAAAAAAAGCUUUCCAGCCCAUUAUGAGAAAGAAAAUUUAACUUCUCUAUUACAUAACUUGAUUACAUAAAUUACUAUAACCUAAUAAGUGCAGUUAACUUGACAUCCUCACUUAACAUAUGGAAGAGCACAUUUAUGACACAUUUAUAGACAUCAGUAUGGCAUUGUAUAUCAGAAAUUAAAAUGUGGAUAAGAUUUUGUCCCCCAAAUUUUACUACAAUAAAUUUGUUUUAAGGAAAUAUUGAAGUAGCAAAGAUGUAUGUUUAAGAAUAUUAAUUAUUACAGUGCUAAAAAAUAAAAUAUAGAACAAAAACUGAAUACAAAAUGUGACUAGAAUGUCAAAUAGAUGUCUACAUUCCCAUAUUUAUUGAAACAUUUUUCAUUAUAGCCAAGAUUUGCAAGCAACCUAAGUGCCUCUCAACAAAUAAAGAGAUUGUUUAAAUGUUUUGUGUGUGUGUGUGUGUAUAAUGGAAUACUGUUCAAUCUUUAGAAAAAAUAAAAUUCUGCAAUUUGCAACAACAUGAAUAAAGCUAGAGGACAUUUAUACUGAAUGAAAUAAGUCAUGUACAGAUAAACAAAUAUUACAUGCUCUCACUUAUAUGUGCAAGCAAAAAUUUGAGCUUACACAAGUAAGGGGUAAAAUGGUUACUACCAAAAACUAGGGCAGGAGUGCAUGGAGAAAGGAAAAUGUUGGUUAAAAGGUACAAAAUUUCAAUUAGAUAAGAGAAAAAAGUUAUGGUGAUCUAAUGCAUACCAAGUAAUUACAAUUAAUAAUAAUGAAUUUUCUAUUUAUAAUUGCAAAAAGGGGGAUUUUAAAUGUUCUUAACAAAAAUAAAUGUGAGAAUUGACAGAUAUAUUAAUUAACCUAAUUUGUUCAAUCCACAAUGUAUACCUGUAUCUAUGCAUCACA
rnacentral:lncRNA from 1 species